AGGUGAGUUCGCCGGUGGAGGAGGGGGUGCAAGGGUCCACGGGACGGACGGACGGGCGGGCGGGCACUGCUCUCUAUAUGCGCGGCGUGUGCCUCGGCCCUGACGGGUGGGGCUUCGGAAAGAUCCGUGGGGACGGAGGCCGUGGUUGUGAUUGAACGGGCUGCCUCCGGACCCCUCCCCUAUCGCCAACGCUGAGCCGAAACCAUGCAUGGGCGCCUGAAGGUGAAGACGUCCGAAGAGCAGGCAGAGGCCAAAAGGCUAGAGCGGGAACAGAAGCUAAAGCUCUACCAGUCAGCCACUCAAGCUGUCUUCCAGAAGCGGGAGGCAGGCGAGCUGGAUGAAUCCGUCCUAGAACUGACAAGCCAGAUUCUGGGAGCCAACCCUGAUUUUGCCACCCUCUGGAACUGUCGCAGAGAAGUGCUCCAGCAGCUAGAAACCCAGAAGUCCCCUGAGGAGUUGGCUGCUCUUGUGAAGGCAGAACUAGGCUUCCUUGAGAGCUGUCUGCGUGUGAACCCUAAGUCCUAUGGCACUUGGCACCACCGCUGCUGGCUGCUGAGUCGCCUGCCUGAGCCCAACUGGGCCCGGGAGCUGGAGCUGUGCGCUCGCUUCCUCGAGGCCGAUGAGCGGAACUUUCAUUGCUGGGACUAUCGGCGAUUUGUAGCUGCACAGGCUGCUGUCGCGCCUGCAGAGGAACUAGCCUUCACUGACAGCCUCAUCACCCGGAACUUCUCCAACUAUUCUUCCUGGCAUUAUCGCUCCUGCCUCUUGCCCCAGCUGCACCCCCAGCCAGACUCUGGCCCCCAGGGACGGCUCCCUGAAAAUGUACUGCUGAGAGAGCUGGAGUUGGUGCAGAAUGCCUUCUUUACUGACCCCAAUGAUCAGAGUGCCUGGUUCUAUCACCGCUGGCUCCUGGGGCGGGCGGAGCCCCACGAUGUUCUGUGCUGCCUGCAUGUGAGCCGGGAAGAGGCCUGUCUGUCAGUCUGCUUUUCUCGUCCCCUGAUAGUGGGCUCCAAGAUGGGGACCUUGCUACUCACGGUUGACGAGGCACCUUUGAGUGUGGAAUGGAGGACUCCAGAUGGCAGGAACCGGCCCAGCCAUGUCUGGCUCUGUGACCUGCCUGCUGCCUCUCUCAAUGACCACUUGCCCCAGCACACGUUUCGUGUCAUCUGGACAGGAAGCGAUACCCAGAAGGAGUGUGUGCUUUUAAAAGGUGAUGCUGUCUAAAGCUCCCCUUGCCUCGCCAGCCCCCCAGCCUUCUCUCUCCUCUCCCCACAGUGUCCCAUCCAACUACUUAACCUUUCCCCUAGGUCACCAGGAGUGCUGGUGCCGAGACUCAGCCACUGAUGAACAGUUGUUCAGGUGUGAGCUGUCCGUGGAGAAGUCCACAGUGCUACAGUCCGAGCUUGAGUCCUGUAAGGAGCUGCAGGAACUGGAGCCUGAGAAUAAAUGGUGCCUGCUGACCAUCAUCCUCCUGAUGAGGGCACUGGACCCCCUCCUCUACGAGAAAGAAACACUGGAGUACUUCAGUACCCUCAAAGCUGUGGACCCGAUGAGAGCAGCCUACUUGGACGACCUGCGCAGCAAGUUCUUGGUGGAAAACAGUGUUCUCAAGAUGGAGUAUGCUGACGUGCGUGUGCUGCACCUGGCUCACAAGGAUCUCACAGUGCUCUGCCAUUUGGAACAACUGCUCUUGGUCACUCAUCUUGACCUGUCCCAUAAUCGUCUCCGAGCCUUGCCCCCAGCCCUGGCUGCUCUGCGCUGUCUCGAGGUGUUGCAGGCCAGUGAUAAUGUCCUGGAGAACUUGGACGGCGUGGCUAACCUUCCCCGGCUGCGGGAGCUGUUACUAUGUAAUAACCGCCUCCAGCAGUCUGCUGCACUUCAGACUCUUGCCUCCUGCCCCAGGCUAGUCUUCCUCAACCUGCAGGGCAACUCGCUGUGCCAAGAAGAGGGCAUCCGGGAGCGUUUGGCUGAGAUGCUACCGUCCGUCAGCAGCAUCCUCACCUAGGAGGCCCCAUCUCACCCUCACCCUUUAACUUAUUGGGACUGAAUAAAGACUGGAGAGGCCCCUCUAGGCUGCCAAGCUACCAUUACUGCUGCCCUGACAACACUUCCUCCAUUACCACCACUGUGCAUUUUGGAAAAAGGAAGGGAGGGGCUCUCUGGGGUAUGGGGCCACUGUCCUGUGAUUCUGUCUACCAAGACCCUCAGUGUUUAUGGCUGGUCAGGACCAGGGCUGGGUCUGAGUUCACCAUCAGUUUUGGGCUAUCGUGGUGCCUGAGCUUGAAGCUGGGAUAGGAAUUAGGAUCAGGUUGUGGUUUGGACUGCUCAUCAGAAGAGCUGUCUCGGGGCUGGAGAGAUGGCUCAGCGGUUAAGAGCGCUGACUGUUCUUCUGAAAGUCCUGAGUUCAAAUCCCAGCAACCACAUGGUGGCUCAUAACCAUCUGUAAUAAGAUCUGACACCCUCUUCUGGUGUCUGAAGACAGCUACAGUGUACUUACAUAUAAUAAUAAAUAAAUCUUUAAGAAAAGAAAA